UCAGCAAUGAUGAUUGGCGCAGGGGUACAGACCUCAGCUGUAUUAUGGGAGCUGAAUGUAAAUGUUUUUGUCCUGCAUGUGGUGGGAAAAGUGAGAACAUUUACAUGAGAGUGGUGCCUACAUCUGAGCUGC
ensembl:snoRNA SNORD94 small nucleolar RNA, C/D box 94